CCUACGGGAGGCAGCAGUGGGGAAUAUUGCACAAUGGGGGAAACCCUGAUGCAGCGACGCCGCGUGAGUGAAGAAGUAAUUCGUUAUGUAAAGCUCUAUCAGCAGGGUAGAAAAUGACGGUACCUGAGUAAGAAGCCCCGGCCAAAUACGUGCCAGCAGCCGCGGUAAUACGUAGGGGGCAAGCGUUAUCCGGAUUUACUGGGUGUAAAGGGAGCGUAGACGGGAGUGCAAGUCUGGAGUGAAGGGCGGGGGCUCAACCCCCGGACUGCUCUGGGAACUGUACGGCUGUAGUGCAGGAGAGGUAAGGGGAAUUCCUAGUGUAGCGGUGAAAUGCGUAGAUAUUAGGAGGAACACCAGUGGCGAAGGCGGCUUACUGGACUGUAACUGACGUUGAGGCUCGAAAGCGUGGGGAGCAAACAGGAUUAGAUACCCCUGGUAGUC
rnacentral:rRNA from 1 species